GAGUAAUGCGUCGGAACGUGCCGAGUAGUGGGGGAUAACUAUCCGAAAGGAUAGCUAAUACCGCAUACGCUUUGAGAAGGAAAGCAGGGGAUCGCAAGACCUUGCGCUAUUCGAGCGGCCGACGUCUGAUUAGCUAGUUGGUGAGGUAAGAGCUCACCAAGGCGACGAUCAGUAGGGGGUCUGAGAGGAUGAUCCGCCACACUGGGACUGAGACACGGCCCAGACUCCUACGGGAGGCAGCAGUGGGGAAUUUUGGACAAUGGGCGCAAGCCUGAUCCAGCCAUGCCGCGUGUCUGAAGAAGGCCUUCGGGUUGUAAAGGACUUUUGUCAGGGAGGAAAUCCCUAGCGCUAAUAUCGCUGGGGGAUGACAGUACCUGAAGAAUAAGCACCGGCUAACUACGUGCCAGCAGCCGCGGUAAUACGUAGGGUGCAAGCGUUAAUCGGAAUUACUGGGCGUAAAGCGUGCGCAGGCGGUUGUGUAAGUCUGAUGUGAAAGCCCCGGACUUAACCUGGGAACUGCAUUGGAGACUGCACGGCUAGAGUGCGUCAGAGGGGGGUAGAAUUCCGCGUGUAGCAGUGAAAUGCGUAGAGAUGCGGAGGAAUACCGAUGGCGAAGGCAGCCCCCUGGGAUGACACUGACGCUCAUGCACGAAAGCGUGGGGAGCAGACAGGAUUAGAUACCCUGGUAGUCCACGCCCUAAACGAUGUCAACUAGCUGUUGGGGGUUUGAAUCCUUGGUAGCGUAGCUAACGCGAGAA
rnacentral:rRNA from 1 species